GUUGGCGCAAACUAAACUGAAACUUACCUGGCCAGCCAGCUAAUCUGGCUUCAUGGUAUAGGCCCCUGUUGGAUGUGCUGCUCAAU